AGUCGAGCGAGUCUGCCUUGAAGAUCGGAGUGCUUGCACUCUGUGAAACAAGAUACAGGCUUGCGGCGGACGGGUGAGUAACACGUGGGUAACCUGCCCAAGAGAUCGGGAUAACACCUGGAAACAGAUGCUAAUACCGGAUAACAACAGAUGAUGCCUAUCAACUGUUUAAAAGAUGGUUCUGCUAUCACUCUUGGAUGGACCUGCGGUGCAUUAGCUAGUUGGUAGGGUAACGGCCUACCAAGGCGAUGAUGCAUAGCCGAGUUGAGAGACUGAUCGGCCACAUUGGGACUGAGACACGGCCCAAACUCCUACGGGAGGCAGCAGUAGGGAAUCUUCCACAAUGGACGCAAGUCUGAUGGAGCAACGCCGCGUGAGUGAAGAAGGGCUUCGGCUCGUAAAGCUCUGUCGUUGGUGAAGAAGGACAGGGGUAGUAACUGACCUUUGUUUGACGGUAAUCAAUUAGAAAGUCACGGCUAACUACGUGCCAGCAGCCGCGGUAAUGCGUAGGUGGCAAGCGUUGUCCGGAUUUAUUGGGCGUAAAGCGAGUGCAGGCGGCUCGAUAAGUCUGAUGUGAAAGCCUUCGGCUCAACCGGAGAAUUGCAUCAGAAACUGUCGAGCUUGAGUACAGAAGAGGAGAGUGGAACUCCAUGUGUAGCGGUGAAAUGCGUAGAUAUAUGGAAGAACACCGGUGGCGAAGGCGGCUCUCUGGUCUGUUACUGACGCUGAGGCUCGAAAGCAUGGGUAGCGAACAGGAUUAGAUACCCUGGUAGUCCAUGCCGUAAACGAUGAGUGCUAAGUGUUGGGAGGUUUCCGCCUCUCAG
rnacentral:rRNA from 1 species